AAGCCUGAGCCCCGUGAGCCUGAGUCAACUGACCUGGGUCAGCCGUGGCCAUGCUGCGAGUCUUUUAUUCUACUGUAGACGUACCCAACCCCGAGUGCAGAACAGAGACAGCUCUUGGAUUGAAUGGGCAAUGAAGACUGAACUCCACUCCAGAGGAGGCCUCUCCAGAAACGGCACACAGGCAGCGUAGCUUGCACCGUUGUUGCUCAUGCUGGACCUACAGGAUCAGAGGAGAAUUCGUUCUCUGCAGCCCAUACAGUCCAUGGUCUCCAUAGUGAGGCUGCCAACAGAGGGACCGCGCAGUGGCGGCACAUCUGCCUUCUUGGAACUCGACUUGGACCCUACCAAACUUUCACGGGAGCUGCCAACGUUCCAACGUCCAACGUUUAGUGACGAGUGACCUGGGCCGAGGAACCUGGCAGUGAAAUGCUGCAUGUUGCACAGCCUCCCUCCAUCACUCCCCCUGAGCCAGCCACUCCCCGGAUGCUGCUCCUUUCCCCAUUUAAAAGCCACAAGCGUCCAGGACAAUGCCAAAGCGUUCCUAGCUAAGUGCCUUGCCUAUUGCAUAAGAGGCUCUCGGGCACCGUGGCUUCCAUUUCAUGUCUGCCUGUUUGGAUUCCUGCUUGCAGAAUGAUUAACUUUAAGGACUAA